GAUGGUGGAACAGGUGUAUGGGGAAAUUAGAUGAACGGUGUGAAUAAUGGAUGAAGGAUGUGGUAUUUAAAGCGAUAGAGGAUAUGAGUUCAAUUAGAAUUCUUAGAACAAGUUAAUAACAAAAUAUUCUAAGUCCUAAUUCCAUUCAAAGUUAAUAACAAUUAAUAAUUAAUAUGAUGUAUAUUAAAAUAUUAUUUGCUAUUACAUUAUUUAGUGAAAUAAAAACUCUAAAUUAAAAUAUGAUAAAAUUUAAACUAAUUCUAAUUCUAUAAAAAUUUAUAAUAAUUAAUAUACAUUAUAAUAAAUAUAAUUAUAUAUUAGUUAUUAUCAUCUUAUUUAUUAAAAUUAAAUUAAAAAAAUUUUAUUUUAGCAGCUUUUAAAGAUAUUUACAAAAAGAGACAGCUAAUUUCAAUAUUUACAAAAAGAACAACCAAAUUUUGCAAAUAAUUCAAUUAAGUACCUGAACUUAAAGAAAAUUUGAAAAUUGAGCUGUAAUUAAAACUUGGAUCAAAAUUGACCCUUUGAUUUGAAAAAAUAAAAAUUUAUUUUGCCAUUUAGGGAAUAAUUUCUCAUAAGAUUAUAUUAAAAUCAAUUCCCAAGAAAGAUUGGAGGGGUCACAAGCAGUUUCGCUUAAGUUCCAAUCUCCUAGAUAGAAUUUAUUUUAACAUACUAUUCCUGGAAAUAUACCCGAAGUCAUUUAUUUAAAAAAAACGAGAAGAAUUAAGUAUUCGAUAAAAUGAACAAGACUUUAUCCCGCUCAAUUUUAUCUCCUUGAGUAAUGUUUUAAGCGUUGAGCAUUAACUCAAAAAUUACCUCCCUUAUCUUGAAGUUGGACAACUCCAUAUGGAAAAACUUGUUGAAUCGUAAAUGGACUGGACCAACGUGAUUUCAACUUACCGAGUUCUCAAACUCGAAUGUGCUUAUCAUGCCAUCUUUUUAAUCUCUCAUUGAAUAACUUGGCAUUUUCAUAUGAGAACAUUUGGAACUCUUUUAACUCAUUAAGUUGAAGCAUCCAUUUUUCUUUAGCAAACUUAAGAUCCAGCUUGAGCUAUUGGAGAGCCCAGUAAGCUUUAUGUUCUAACUCCAAGGGCAAAUGACAGGCUUUCCCAAAAACCAACCUAUAGGGUGACAUCCCUAGAGGUGUCUUGUAUGUUGUCCUGUAAGCCUAUAAAGCAUCGUCCAAUCUUUUGGACCAAUCUCAUCAGUUUGGACAAACUACUUUAUUGAGUAUGCCUUUUAUCUCUUUGUUUGCUAGUUUAGCUUGCCCAUUUGUCUGCAAAUGGUAGGCUUUGGCAACCUUGUACUUCACUCAAUGCUUAUCAAGUAACCAUUUAAACCAUUUGUUCACAAAAUGGGACCCUUCAUCCCUAAUGUUGGCCUUAGUAGUACCAAACCUUGUGAACACAUGUUUCUACAAAAACUUCAUCACAACCUUGGCAUCGUUCGUCGGAUAUGCCUCGACCUCAACCCACUUAGAUACCUAGUCUACUAUUACCAGUAUUUACUUGUGACCAAAAGACGAAGGAAAAAGACUGAGAAAGUCAAUACCCCAAACAUCAAAUAAUUCUACCUCAAUCAUGUUUGCUCAGGGCAUCUUAUUUCUGUUGGUGAUGUUUCCAACCUCUUGGCAUCGAUCACAACUCUUUACGUAAGCAGACGCAUCUUUGAAUAGCGUUGUCCAAAAGAACCCCGCUUGCAAUAUUUUGGCUGCAGUAUAUGUACCUCUGAAGUGUCCCACACUCGGAGUUGUGUGACAAUGAUAUAAAAUCUCAUGUACUUCAUCUUCUACCACGCAUCUUCUGAUCAUUUUAUCUGUACACUUUCUAAACAAGUAUGGUUCUUCCUAGAAAUAGUACUUCACAUUGUGAAGAAAAAUUUUCUUUUGUUGAUAUGGCUUAUCAAUCAGCAUCAAACCACAAGCUAAAUAGUUAGCAAAAUCAACAAACCAAGAAGUAUUAUGGACAUGAUUUACCUUAAGUAUGUGCUUGUCUAGAAAUGUCUCUUGAAUGGGUAUAAGUGGAGAAUCUCCUUCUUGCAGCUCCAAUCUGGAUAAGUGAUCUACUACUUAAUUUUCUAUUCCUUUUCGAUCUUGAAUUCCUAGAUUGAAUUCUUGGAGUAGAAGUACCCAUCGAAUUAAUCUCGGCUUGGCAUCUUCCUUGGUAGGUAAAUACUUAAUUGCUGAAUGAUCCGUAUAGACAGUCAUUUUGGUACCUACAAGAUAAGAUCGAAACUUGUCAAAAGCAAACACAAUAGAUAGUAACUCUUUCUCUAUUAUCGUAUAAUUCAAUUGAGCUCUCGUUAGAGUUUGACUUGCAUAGCAGAUGGGACGAAAAACUUUGUUCCUUCACUGGCCCAUCACAGCUCUUAUCAUGAAGUCACUAGCGUCCCACAUCAAUUCAAAUCGCAAAGCCCAGUUCGGUGUGACGAUGAUUGGUGCCAAAAAUAACCGACUUCUUAAAUCAUUGAAAGCUCUUAAACACCCAUCAUCAAAUUUUAACAUAGUUUCCUUCUCCAAUAAUUUGCAUAAAGGUUUAGUAAUUUUGGAAAAGUCAUUGAUAAAUCUUUGAUAAAAAUCGGCGUGACCCUAAAAUCUCCUAAUACCUUUUACAGAUGUUGGAGGUGGGAGUUUCUCAAUAACAUCUACCUUUGUUUUAUCAACCUCGAUCCCUUGUUUCGUUAUUCGGUGCCCUAAAACAAUGCCUUCUCGUACCAUGAAAUAACACUUUUCCCAAUUAAGUAAGAGGUUUGUUUCUUCGCAUCGCCUUAGUACCUUAGCUAGAUUGGACAAGCAAUCAUCAUAUGCAUCUCUGAAUACUGAAAAAUGAUCUAUAAGAACUUCCAAAUACUUUUCAACCAUGUCAGUAAAAAUAGACAUCAUACAUCUUUGAAAUGUAGUAGGUGCAUUACAUAAACCAAAUGGCAUGCGUUUAAUUACAAAUGUACCGUACGAGUAUAUGAAUGUUGUUUUGUGUUGAUCCUUCGGCAUUACUGUGAUCUAAUUAUACCCCAAGUAUCUAUUGACAAAAUAGUAAUAGUCUCGCCCUACGAGUCUAUCCAGCAUUUGAUCCAAAAAUGGUAAAGGAAAGUGGUCUUUCCUAGUCGCUUUGUUUAAUUUCCGAUGAUUGAUGCAAAUUCUCCAUCCCGUAACCGCUCUGGUUAGUCUCAACUCAUUGUUUUUAUUUUCUAUGAUUGUGAUACUUCCUUUCUUUGGCACGCAUUGGACCGGACUAACCUUUGAACUAUCUGAGAUGGGAUAAAUUAUACUCGUAUCUAGCCAUUUAAUGAUUUCUUUCUUUACCACGUCCUUCAUGAUGGGGUUUAGUCUUCGUUGUCCAUCAAUCGUCUCUUUCUUUCCAUCUUCCAGUAUGAUAUUGUGUAUGCAUACAGAUGGACUAAUGCCACGAAUAUCGGCUAUAGCCUUCUUAAAUUGUUUCAAUACUAGGAUGAGUUUCUCUUCUUGCUCUUCGAUCAACUUUGCUGAAACAAUCACAGGCAAAAUAGAAGCGUUACCUAAAUAAACAUAUUUUAAAUUUUAGGGAAGUACCUUCAGUUCUAAUUUAAGUGGCUCCUCAAUUGACGCUUUUGGCUGGGUAUAAUCUCUACUUUCUUACUUCAAAGACUCAAAGCAGGAUUGCAAUAAAAUCCCCUUUGAUUAGCUUCUAGUAAAGCUAAGUAUUCCUCCCCUCUUCAUCACUUGGAGGAUCUGACGUCAAAAUUUGCUCCAAUAGGUCAUCAACAAAGUUGAGUUCCUUUUUCAUGACUAAUUCCUUUAACUCAGAUACUGCAGAACAAUUAUCAACUAUGCCAAGAAUUCGCAUAGAAUUAAAAACAUUAAAUGUUACCUGAUCGUCUUAAACAUGCAUAGUAAGAUCGCCUUUCUGCACAUCGAUAAGGGUACUUCCAGUUGCUAGGAAAGGCCUUCCUAGGAUGAUUGGCACUUCUUUAUCUGCUUCAAAGUUUAGAAUAACAAAGACAGUAGGAAAAUUAAAUUUGUCUACACUUACCAAUACAUCCUCGAUUUUUCCUUCUGGAUGUGCUAAAGAUCGAUCUGCUAAUUGAAGUGUAAUCGUAAUAGGUCUAACUUCACCUAUCCCCAACUUCCUAAAUAUGGACAUGGGCAUCAAGUUAAUGCUUGCACCCAAAUCACAUAGUGCCUUACCAUAAUAAGUUGCUCUAAUAUUGCAACUUAUGGUAAAACAUCCAGGUUCCUUCAACUUUGGGGUAGUUUGUCUUGAAGAUAUGCACUGCAUUCUUUCGUCAAGACUAUCGUAUCAAAUUAUCUAAGUCUCCGUUUCUUGGACAGGAUAUCUUUCAUGAAUUUGACGUAGUUCGACAUAUAUUCAAGCGCUUCUACCAACGAAAUGUUGAUAUGAAGUUGCUUGAGUACAUCUAAAAAUUUCUUGAUUUGGAUGUCUUGUUUCUGUUUUUGAAUCCUUCGAGGGUAGGGUGGUGGAGGAUUCUUUACUGGAACUAGUUGAUUCAUCUUUUGUGGCAGUUCUGCAUCUAACGAAGUUGUUAGUUUAUCAGAAUUGACUGGUUCAGAAAUUACCUUAUUGGGUUUUGCAGAUUCUGGUCUUGGUGAAGUUGGAAUUUCAACAUUUGGUUGAAUUUCCACUGAAUCUUAAGCAUCCGCUAGCUCCUCUUCAACUUUGACAGUGUUAGGCUCUAAUGUCUUUCUGCUCCUCAAUGUCAAUGUUUUAUAAUGCUCUUUCCUCAAAUUUUUUGGAUUCUCCAUAUCACUAGGCAAAGCAUCUUGUUGAUCGUUUCUGAGUUCAAUGGCAAGCUAGCCCAUUUGGUUUUCCAAGGUUUCCAAUGUGGCUUAUUGACUUUGGAUUAAGGCAUCAUUUUUGGCUAUGUAUGCCUUCAACAAGUUUUCUAAGCCAUUGGAAGAUUUAGCUUGAGGUUGCUUCUAAACUUGUUAGGUAAAAAUAGGUGGAUAGGUCGGUCUAGGUUGGCCAUAAGUGUUACUGGGUCCAACCCCUUUGUUACUCCAAGAGAAAUUAGGGUGGUUUCGCCAAUAUGGGUUAUAAAAAUUGGAUUGCAGUCCUUGCCUUCCUCGAUUUUGGUUCUGGUUACCUAUAUAAUACACAAAUUUUAGGUUUGAUGGACAUUCUUCGAACGAAUACCCUUCCUCAUAAUAAACACAGACCACAUUUUCGAAUUGAUUUGGGGGCUGAGCUGUAAAAUUAUUAAACCCGCUAGUAGUAAAGUUUUUGAGUAUUGAGGAUACCUGAGAUGCAAGUGAAGUGACAACAUCCACUUCAUAUACUCUAGCUACUCGUCUUCCUGACGCUACUUAAUUGGUUGGCCAUUGGUAGUUGUUGCUAGCAAUCCUCUUAAUGAUUUCAUAAGCCUCGUCAUAAGACUUAGAAAUGAAAGCAUCAUUAGCAGAAGCAUCCACUACCAUCCUCGUGUAGGCAUUCAGACUGUUAUAGAAUGUCUCUAAUUGGAUGCAAUGAAGGAUUCCGUGAUGAGGGCAUCUUCAUAAUAAUUCUUUAGACCUCUCUCAUGCCUCAUACAAGGACUCGCUAUCCAUCUAUUGGAAGGUAGUAAUCUCGUUCCUCAACUUAGCAUUUUUGCUAGGUGGGAAGUACUUCACAAGAAAUCUUUCUGCUAACUCUUGCCAUGUGGUAAUAGAAUUUGGUGGCAAUGGGUUCAACCAGACUCAAGCUCUGUCCCUCAGUAAAUAUGGGAACAACUUUAAUCGUAGUGCAUCUUCAGGUACUUCAGCUAAUUUGAAAGAAUCAUUCACUUCCAUAAGAAAUCUUAAGUGAAGGUGAGGAUCUUCGGUAGGCAUUCCACUGAAUUGUCUCUCUAUCUGAAGCAUCUGGAACAUGAUUGGCUUCAGCUCGAAUUGUUGUGCCUCAAUUUUGAGUCUCCUAAUACCUGGAUUAAGAUCAUGAAAUACUAGUACGACAUACUGUCUUAGAGCUCUAUCCCUAUCAUCAAUAAUAAGGAUAGGAUUUUGAGCAAGGUUUGCAUCAUUUCCUUGAUUUUGGUUUUCGAAAUUCAUUUCUUCGGUCCUUCUUUAGUUCACUUGUCUUCUUCGUUGUCGAAAAUUUCUUUCAAUCUCAGGAUCUACAAGGAGUAAAUCGACAAUUUGAUCAAUACUCAUAAACACGUGAAACCAACAUAGAAAAAUUGACUAAGUUAAAAUAGAACAAAAAAAUAAACCAAAAUGCGAAAUUAACAAUUUCAUAAAUAAUGACUUUUUAAAUUAGUCAUCGACAAUGACACCAAAAACUUAGAACGAUGGAAAUGUGCAAGUGUACACAAUCGCAACAAGUAAUAAAGUGACAAGUAAAUGUCGAGUUAUCGUACCUACAAGGACUGUGAAAGAAAAAUAUUUAUGAAAUGAAAUUCAAACACUUUGGUGAUUAAAAAUAUUUUGAUUUUGAGGAAGUGGUUAGAAACUAAAAUUUAACUAAGUAAAAUAAAAUAAAAAAAAUAAAAGUUCCAAUACACGAUUUCAAAAUAUGGUUUUAAUCAAGAUGACAUAAUUGCGUUAGAUUAAUUACAUUUCUUAACUGAAUAUUACCAAAAAAAAUUUAAUGUUGUUACGAAUAAAUUCACGACAACUUGGUAAUUUGUUAACUAUAGCACAUAUAGACUUACUACAUUAACUAAUCUCUUGGACAUGUCACUAUGCCAAUUCAAACAAUUAAUCAAUUUAAAUAAACAAGUAAAAGAUUAAGUAAGGUAACAAUAUAUUUCUGCAUUGAAACAAUUUAAUCACAAUAAUCUUGCAAGUUAUGCAAGGCUAAUGUACCGUUUAAUACCGUCGCUAAUUUAACCCUCAGCUACCUUAGAAGAUUAAACAUGUAUGAUUAAGUAUUGUCUCAAUUAAUUACAAUUUCAACACGAUUAAUAAUUAAUUCAUUAGUUACCUUAUAAUUAUAAUGCAAGUAUAACAUAAUCAUGGUUUUACUUAAUCAAACAAUUUACCAAGACCCAUAAUAACACAAACAUAAUUUUAAUAACUUAAGUAGACGAAAUGAAAUCAACCUAACACAAAUUAAAUUUAAGCCAUGUUAAUUAAACUUAGAAUAAAAAAUAACAAAUAUUCAUAGACAUGUUCAUAACAACAACAAUAAAAGUUAAAGGAUAGGAAACUAGAAUCAAAUCCGGUGUUUCUUUGAAGCUUGACUAGUUUGCUCUACUCCUCCUUCCCCGCUCAUUUUUUUUGAACCAAGACUUCUGUAAGCACUUGAAUUUUGCUACCCAAGGUGGUUGAAGGGCUCUUUCAAGAGGAAAUUGUCAAUGGAAAUAGAAGGGGAAAAGUGGGAAACAAAGGGAGGUUUGGAAGAGAGAAAGUGAGUGAAAGAGAGAGAGAUGCGUAAAAUGAAAGGUGUGUUGAAAUGAAUAGAUGAAGGGGGUAGGUGGGAGUGACUGGUAAAAAUAGAAAAAUAUUAGCAGCCAUUAACUCCCCCCAUGGCUGGCCACUAUACAUGCACAAGUUGAAGAUUUCUACUUGCUAAAUUUAGCUAAGGGCAAAUCUACAAAAGCAUGACAAGUGGAGGGUUUGAAUGCGAUUUCAAGGAGACUUCAAGGGAUGAUUUGCAAGUCAAAUAAUCAGCUAAUUUGAGCUGACUGGAUCAGCUUGUUGGAUGGUUUUGGGCAGCCCAUUUGCUUGAUUGGAUUAGUCUUUUGGUUUAGCACAACUAGGCCUCCAAUCAUAAUAUAACUAGUAAUAAUUUUUAACCAAAAAUAAAUUGGUUAUAAUUAAGAGUAAUUAUAUUAUGUAUUAAUAUUCAUGAUUUGGAACGUCUUAGGCUGAAAAAUUAAUUCGCCUUGGUGCUUCAGACAUCGCUUCCCAGUUUGAGCUUCUAGUAGUGUCUGCCGAGCUAAUUUUCACAUUUUGUGCAAAUCUGUUGAAAAUAAAUAAAAAAAUUAUGAAAUUUUAUUAUAAAAUUAAUUAAAAUUAAAUAUGUUAAUAAUUUAAGAACAAUUUAAUUAUUUUACAAUUAAAUUAUAUUUUGGACAAGAAUUACACCGAAACUGCAUGAAUUUGAGUUAAAAAGGGCAUGAAAAAAUCUAUAUAUUUUCGUGUUUCCAUGUAUCUGGCAUAAAGAAAACUCUAUUUAUAGCUUGAAUGGUCUUUCAUUUGUUCUGUUAUGCAUGAUUGGUGUAUACUUGUUAGACUCAAAUUAUGUAGUAGUUUUGGAGGUUUAAGAUGCUACUCUUACAAACUGCUAGUUUUGGCAUGACGUGGUACUAGAAAGUGUGAAAGCUUAAUGAAGGGUUUGUGUCAGAACUCCAAAAAGAGAUGCUGGGUUUCAUGUGUGGUUGAACAUGAUAUUUUUAUUGGGUUAACAUCAAUUAGACCCUUUUUAUUUUUAUAAUUUUUUCGUUUAGAUCCUUUAUGCCUAAAAAAAUAUCAAUUAUAUCUCAAAACUUUCUAUUUAUUAUCACUUGCUUAUUUGGGUUUAAAUUGAUGAUAAGAUUUCAAAAAUACCUCACAAUAGAUUGAGAGUUUAAUGGGUGUAAAUAGAAAUUUUUUGAAGUUUAAGAAGUCUAGGUGAAAAACAUGCUAAAUAUUUAUCACUAUCUGUUAAAUGCAACCAAAUAUAGAUACGCAGACAUACUCACAAAAAAUAAUAAAUACACUUAAGAAAAGAGAUAAUACAACUAAUACUAAAUUAUGUAUCUAAUACCAUUUGUUAAAUACAACCAAAUAUAUAAUUUUUUAUUGAAUUUUUCUGUUUGUCUUAUUUUUAUUUUUUUCAUUUUAGGGUUUGGAGUUUGAGAUUUUGAGUUUAGGGUUUAACAUCCCUAUUCUUCUUCGUUUCAAUAUGAAUACAACCAUUUCACAGGAGUUUUAUGAAAAAAAAUGUCAAAAGCCCUUUAUUGGAUUUGAAUUGAUUACUUUCACCUUAACAUGGUGUUACUCUACCACUGAGUUAAAAGGGUCGUUCGAUUCAAUUACUGAAUGAAUUAGUAGAUGGAUAAGAUCUAUUUAUAUAUAUAAGUAUAUGCAGUAGACUCAUAGUGGCUAGUAGCUCUUAGGAAUGAGAAUUCUAAUUACUUUAUGUGUAAAGGGUAAAAUGGUUUUAUUGAUAUUGGGUUUGAUAAAUAUCAAUGCAAUGAAUUAUUUCAAGGCCAUUCAUAAUUGGCUUAUCAGAGCGGGACGAAAUUCAUUUAUUUGAUUAAUAAAUUUACCUUAGGAAUUCAACAUAUAUCCAAUCUAUUUUAUCGAAACAUGUGAUGAAGGGAUUUGCUUUUUCCACUGCACCAAAUUUUUAGAAAACAAACACACACAUAAUUUUCAUUAACUUCUUGUUACCUUUUCCAAAAAUUCCCGAUUUACUUUUUGUUAAUUUAUCAGGUUAGUGUGAGAUAGAAACAUGCUUAUCUCGUCAUAAUAAUGAGUGAAUCAAUGAAUGAAAGUGGAGAAAAUGAAUGUUAACUCCUUUUUUUUUAUGUUUAUGUUAAACCAAUCAUUGAUAAGUAAAAGUCUGAAUUCAAAUAGAUAAGGAACUGAAAUUUGAAGCAUUGGGUAUACGACUUCUACAAUGUGUAGCAUCAUUCACAAUAGUGAAAUUCAUAGCUUAAGACAUGGGUAAAUGAUAUCUCCUUAUUGGCAUUAUGUGAUGGAUGAAAAGUAAACAUUGUCAUGGGUCAUUGUCUUUGUGAUAAAUGACUUGAUUACUAUUUGAUAGUAAUUGACUUUUCAAGAAGGAAGAUGUACUAGUUACCAUGAGAUAAAAUAAGAUCAUAUUGAGAGAGCGGAUUUAUCCUAAAGAGAUUAAGGAUAUCCUAUGAGGGCAACACAUUUAUGAAAAAGUUAUUGGACGAGGACUAGUCAAAUUACUUUUGUAAGGGUAUGUCAUUAGGGAGAGCUUAGUCACGAUACUAUAGUGUUAUGGCUUCAUGACUAAAUGAAUUUAUAAUUAAUAGGAAAAAAGCUGGAACUUAAAUUAUAAAUCAUUUAAGCCCUAAUCACAUAUGUCCAAUCGAUCCCUCCUCUAGCUCAUUGAUUCCAAAAAUGAAUUGCAUGUUCAAUUAAAUGAAUAGAAAUGGAUAGAAGUGAUAAAGUUUGAGAAAUGGGAAACAUUUGGAAAUGAAUGUGGUUUCCUCGGAAAAUGGAAAUGACCUGAAAAAUUAAUUUAUGAUUUUUCAAAUUAUUGAUUAAUUAAUUAAUUAAUUAAUUAAUCGAAGUUUGAAAAUGGAAUUAAAUUAAUUGGUUAUAUUGAAAUCGUUAAAUGUAGAAAUAUUAAAUAUAUUUUAUCAUAGAUUUUAUUAAGGUAAAAGUGUUAUUAUUUUAAUACAAUUAGAAUUGGGUUGAGAAAAGUAUUUAAUUGGAAAAUUAAUUAAUUAAUUAAAAUUAAUUUAUAAUGAUUAUUUUGGAGAAUAGAAAAACAUGUAUUGAGUUGGGUUGAAUUAUAAAAUAUUGGGUUAAAAGUCUAAGAAGUAAUUAUAAUUGGACCCAAUACGGGAGAGGCCCAAAAGACUCUCAUGCUAUUACAUGGGAUGACAAACCCUAAUAUAUUUAACUAGGGUUGCCGCCCCUUUCUAUCCUAUUGGACUAGGAUUUUUUUUUAUUGAAAUAGACUUUCACUAAUUCAACAAGGAUUUCACUUCUUCUCUCAAUAAUUAGAUGGCAUCGAUAAGGCUAAGCACACACAACAUUGAGAUAUUGUUAUUCUUCCCAAAAAUAGUGAGAAUUUAUUUUUUAAGUAUAAAUUCUAUUUUUUGGAAUAACAAUUAUAUCGGUUUCUAUUAAAGAGAGGAUUUACUUUCUUAUUUAAAGUAAAGUAAACAAUUUUUGGUUUUGUGUUUGACUCGAAUUUGUUCGAGCCCACAUUUGAAGCAAUCGUGGUAUGAGAAUAGCAAAGAAGGUCGUUCGAUUGAAAGUUAGGAACGACAAGAAUCCGUCUAGCCAAAAACACAUGUGCAAUUUUGGUAAAAGGUUUAUUGGUAUAAAUAUCAUAAAUCGGCUUGGUUUCCAAAUUUUAAAUUUUUUGUUGUGCAAGAAAACCGUUUUCGAAUCAGUUUUUUUCCAAUAUAAUUCACUUUCAAGUUUUCCAUUUCAAUUAAAUUGAAUAUCGUCUUAUGGAACUAUAGUAAAAUGGACUCGGAUACUCUAGUGAGUAAGUUGCUCACACAAGCUGACAUUAUAUCAGGGUUCCUCAAACAAGCUGAAACGUAUCAAGGUUGCUCAAACAAGCUGACUUAUAUUAGGUUACCCAUUCGGGUUAAACCUAAAUUACAUAUACUUCAAGAAUCUACAAAAAAUGCUAGACAUCAUUAAAACAUGUAAUGUCCCUAAUCAAGCUCGUGUAUAACUCUAUUGGAAUGCCAAACAUAUCCUAACCUUUUACUAAGUUCACAUGGGAAUCAUUUCCAUAUAUAUGUCAUUACCAAUCCCUGUACAUGAUCACAUAAUUCGUUUACAUAUCCUGUAAUCAAUCAACUUUCACAUUUGUACCCUGUACUAUUACACACGCACACAAAAAAUGAAACACAAAAUCACACACAGCAUAAAAUAAGCUAUUAAGUUCCAUAUGAACUUACCUAUUAGAAACAUGAAAACAAGUUGAUUCUUUAAGGACUAAUCAACGAUUUUAGCUUUUCUUCGAUUAACUCCACUUCGAUCCAUUUCUUGAUCUAAACAAUUAUUUUAUAAUACCAAUCAAUAACAAACAUUUUUCAUACUAUGCUACGAUAUGCAUGACCCUAGAAAAAAUUACUUUUCGAUUUCCCUCAAAAUUUUCAUUUUAUUCAAUUUAGUCUUUAAACUCAAGAUAAACAUAACUUUCUAUUCCUAGCUUCAGAUUAAAAUCCAAUUUCAUAUAUUCUCAUUAGGGACCUUAAUUUAUAUCUCUAACAUAUUUUCAUGACAAGUUUUACAUUUAUUUAAUUUGGUCCCUAAUGCCACAAAGUCAAUAAUAAGCUAAAUUAACUUUACAAUCUAGUCCUUUCAUAUUCUAAGCUUAAAAUCUAUCAAUUACAAGCUUAAUUCUUCAAGAAAUCAACAAUGGUAACUUUCUAAAAUUUUAACAGUUUUACAAAUUGGUAUAUGGGCUAGCUAAAUCAAGCUCUCAUGACUUCAAAUCUAUAAAAAUUAUAAGAAAAUGAUUUAAAUUUACCUUCCAAUUAAUGGCCUAAUGUUUCAAUGGUUUGGAAGCUUCUCUUUUAUUUUUCUUUCACUUUGGACGACACACACAUGAAAUGGAGAAGAUGACACUAUUCUCUCCACUUAUUUAACUUACAUUCUUGAUUAAAAUUUAAUUAAUUUGGUUUAAUUAAACUUAAUCAAGUUUAAUUCCACUAAUCCUAAUGUUAAUUAAUGCUAAUGGUUUCUCACAUAAUCAUCCACUAAGAUUCAAUUACAAAUGGUUUAAUAACCAUUUUGGACUUUUGGCUAAUUGCUCUUUAGAUCCUCAAGCCUUUGGUCAAUUACAACUUUAUAACAGUUGAACUUUACAAUUUAAUCCCUAAGCCUUAAUUAACUAUCAAUUCAACAAAAUUACUAGACCAAUCUUGGACUCAAUUAUAGAAAUGGAGUUCCAAAACUGCAUUUUUUAUAUCACUGAAAAUCAGGUCAUUACAUUUUGUAUAUAGGAAAUAGUGCGCGUGUGAGUACAUGAUAACUUAUUAAGUUUCGAAGGAGUUGACUGGUUUUGUUUUAACUUAUAAAUAGGGAUAAGGGUUUGUAGUUUUUCUCAUCAUUUCUUUCUUUAGUUUUAUAGUUUCUUUAGUCUUUAACACUUUACCAUUGCUACCAUUGUUGGUGCAAUUAUUUUCUUUCUCGUCUGUGCUUCUGGAAUGAUUUUCGUUGGUAGGUCCAAUUUUUCAUUUUUCUUAUAUUUUUUUAAAUUUUCAUUUAAACUCUAGCGAAACAUGGCCCCUAGAUUAUUUAGUAUUUCCACUGAAAGAAAAUCUCAACCAAUCUCAUUUAUUUAUUGAUUAAAUUCAAUAUUUAAUCUUUUACUAUAUUCAUUUCUUCUAUUCUAUAUAUUAAAAAAAUAAUUGUUAAUAUACCAUUUAAAAAUAGUCACAAUUUAAACUAAGAUAUAUAAAAAAAACAAUAUUUUAUAUAAAAAAAGUUACAACUGAAAAAAAAUGUGGCAUGAUUUUUAAUCUUCUGCAUUUAAUAUAUAAUUAAAAAAUGAGUUUCAACCUUUUUAAUAAAGGAAAAUUUUAUUUAUUUUAUAAAAGGAAAAUGAAUUACAAUUUAAAAAAUUGGCAUAAUUUUGUUAAAGGCACACUGGUGAGGAGCAUGGGAUUUUUGUUCAAGGGCAGAGGUAAUUUUUGCCCCAUUCUAAUAUCUAUCAACUUUUACUUAUAAAUACCUAAAUAUAUUCGUCUUGAUCCUAGGAAAUUAUUAGGUAAAAUCUUUCUACCACAUAAAUCAUGGUUUCAUCCAAUACUUUAUGAAGAUUAUUUUUAUAUGUCAUUGCUGAUUAAAAAAUUAAAAAAUUAUUUUCUCCUUCCUUCAACCAAAUUUUUUUAUUUCAUCCUUAUUUUCAUUUUUCAUCUACAGAUUUGAUUUUAAGUUUUAAAAAUUUAAUUUUUUAUUUUUUUCAUUGCUUUAUUCAUGCUAGAUUUGUGUAUUUAAAAAUAAAAAAAAUUUUAUGUUUUCUCCUUUAACCAUUCUGCAUUUGGAGAACUAUGAAGAAAGCGAGUUCUUUUGAUAGAAGCUAAAAGAGAAUUCUUAACAUAAAGAAGAUGGAGAUAAACUUGAGGAAUUUAUUCAAAAAAUAACUUCAGCACUUGAUCCUUUAUAGAAGCUUACAUACAAGGGAAAACAUGGACAUAAGACCCACCGACUAACCAUUGAAAUAUAGAUUAAUUCCACAAAAGAUUAAACAAACUAUUUUGACUGACUGACUUUCUACAACAUAGGAACCAACAAUAACAGGCCAAACAAAACAUUUAACGUGGUGUAGACAUUCUCAACAAUCCUUCCCUUAAACUGAAAGCACAAAUCUAAAACUUUCAACUUAAACAACUCAUUGUGCAACCCCUCACUCAAUGUGCAAACACCCAACAACUUUCUCAACUUUAUAGAUCUCUCAACCUUGAGGGGCUUGGUGAAAAUAUCAGCAGCUUAAUCCUCACUUCUACAGUAAACAGCUUCGAUAAUUCACUUCUUCAUGAGAUCUCUGAAGAAAUGAAACUUCACAUUUAUAUGUUUCAUUCGUUCGUGCAAGACAAGAUCCUUUAACAAUUUUAUAGUUGAGUUGUUGUCAUAAUAAAUUGGAGUAGGUCCUUUCUGUGGAAAAUAAACAUCUACAAAAACGUUCCUUAGCCAAAUUGCUUAACAAGCACAUGUGGUGGCUGCAAAAAUCUCUACUUCAAUGGUUGACAGAGUAAUAAUUGGUUGUUUCUUAGAUGACCAAGAAACAGCUCCUGACCCCAUCAUAAACACAUACCCCGAAGUUCUCCUCCGAUCAUUUUUAUCCUCGAAAAAGUCACUAUCAGUGAAACCGAUAAAAUAAGACUCUACUCCUUUAUUGUAUAAAAUCCUAUAACUCGAUGUCCCUUGCAAGUACUUGAGGAUCCUUUUAGCAGCAAGAAAAUGCAUCUCUUUUGGGUGCUCCAUGAAUCUACUGAUAAGACUGGCAGAGCACAUAAUAUUAGGUCAGGUGGUUAAAUACAUCAAGCUUCCUACGAGCUGUUUGUACAGAGUGCUGUCAAUCUUCUUUCCUAUAGGAUUUUUCUCCAAUUUCAAACCCAGCUUAGUAGGUGUGGCCACAGAAUUGUAAUUCUUCAUCCCGACCCUAGCCAAAAUUUCCCCAACAUACUUCUUUUGUGAAAUAAAAUUCCACAAUUUGAUUGAUAUACUUCAAUAUCGAGAAAUAACGCAUUAACCCAAGAUUAGAUAUAUCAAACUCCUUCAUCAUUGAUUGCUUAAAUUUAUCAAGCAUUGUCUGAUCAUUCUCGAUAUAAAUUAGAUGGUCCACGUAUAAGCACAUAAUAACCAUCUUCUCAUCUUCAACUUUGCAGUAAAAAGUAUAUUGAUACGAACAUUUCUUAAAACCCGCCAAAUUGAAAUAAGCAUCUAUUCAACUAUACCAGGCUCUAGGAGCUUGUUUCAGCCCAUAUAGUUCUAUUUUUAAUAUAUAUACUUUAUGCUCACUUCCACAUUUCACCUAACCAGGGGUUGAUCGAUGAAUACCUGCUCUUCUAACUCUCCGUGUAGGAAAGCUGACUCCACGUCGAGUUAUAAAAUCAGCCAUGAGUUUUGUGGUGCUAAUGCCACCACUGAUCUGAUUGUCUCAAAUCGAGCCACGAGAGUAAGAGCUUCUUUGUAGUCAACACCGAAUUGCUGCUUGUAGCCUUUAGCUACCAAACGUGCUUUAUACUUGUCAACCUUGCCAUUCUCCUUGAAUUUGGUCUUGUAAAAACCCAUUUAACUCCGAUUGGCUUGUGGCCUCUUGGAAGAUCAGUUAACUCCCAAGUGUUGUUCUUCUCAAUUGCAACAAUCUCGUCAUCCAUUGCUUUUUGCCACUUCAAAUCUUCGCUAGCAUUUUUGAAACUUACAAGAUCACAGUCCACAAAUAAAGCAAAAUAUGGCUGAGGAUCUUCAUCUUCAAAUUGAUCCCCACUGACCACAUAAUCUUCCAUCCAUAUCGGUAUUCUUUUGAUUUUUUUACUGUACCCAUUCUGCUGAUCUACUUCAGUUGUAGGUUGUUCCCAUGCUGUUUCCUCGAUCUCAUCACUAAACUCUGAUAGAAUUUGCUUCAUCUACUGGUUGUUCCUUUUUUCUUCCCACGACCAAAAUGUUUUCUCGUUAAAAACUACGUCCCGGCUGAUAACAAUCUUCUUGGCAACAAGAUUAUAUAGCUUGUAAGCUUUUGACUCAUUGCUAAUACCAAGAAAAACACACUUCUCAACCUUGUCAUCGAGCUUUUUCCUCUUCUGGUCUGACACAUGAGAAUAAGCAACACACUUGAAUACCUUAAAGUGACGCACAUCCGGUUGUUGACAACACCAAGUUUCUUCCAGUGUCAUAUGUCUAACAACAUGUGUAAGACUUCUAUUCAAAACAUGAACACUCUAGCUCACUUCCUCCGGCCAAUUUUUUUUGAAACAUUGCUUCUUUGUAAGAGACUUCGAACAACAUUUAAGAUUGUUCGAUUCUUCCUCUCCCUCACCCUAUUUUUUUAGGAGAAUAUGUUGCAGUAAGGUGCCUUUAUAUCCCAUUAGAUUCACAAAAUCUUAUAAAUUCUUAAGAAAGAUACUCUCCUCCCCAAUCACUACGAAGAGCUUUAAUUGAUGUCCUAUCCUUUUUUUCAUCCAGCGCCUUAAAGCUCUUAAAAGCUGCAAAGGCUUCAGAUUUUUUGUGCAAACAAUAAAACCAACUCUUUCGUCUAAAUUCAUUUUUGAACGUUGUAAAAUAACAUUUACCUCCAUUUGAAGUUGGAUUUAGUGGUCCACAAAUGUCAGAGUGAACCAAUUCAAGCUAUUGCGAGGCUUUCCAAGCUUUUCCUUUUGGAAAAUUAUCUCGGGGCAUCUCAACACAAUCUUUAUAUACUUAUGAAAGAGUAUCAAAUGGAGGGAGACUAGCAACCAUAUUCUUUUGUUGUAAUGUUUGAAGUCUUCCAAAACUCAGGUGCCCAUACCUGUAAUGCUAAAGCCAUGUCGAACUAGUCUUUUGUGUUGAAAAACAAGAGUGACAAUGUUCAAUAUGCUAAAUAUGCAGUGGAAAGAGCUUAUUAGUUGUCAUGGCAAAUUUAGCGACCAACCCAAGAUUGCAGUCUUGGAACUUGCACACUCCAUCCUUGAUAAUCACCUCAUAACCCUUCUCUUGGAAUUGACCUACACUAAGUAAAUUUGACUUAGAUCUAAAACAUAGAAAACAUCCAAAAUACUUUGGACAGAUGUGAACUUUGCUUGGAUCUUAACCUUCCCUCGUCCCUGGACAGAAACAAGAGAGUUGUCACCUAACUUUACUGUUCUUCAGAAUGUCUUAUCUAGAUCAGAGAAUGUUGAUCAGUUUCCACAUAUAUGAUUGUUAUAGCCCGUAUCAAGAUACCAUACAUUUUUUCGAGUUUCCUUCUUUGUGUCAUACACCAUCAAAGGAGUAACUUCCUCCUUUUCCACAGUUGCUUCUAAAAAAUUUAUCCUUUCUCUGCCACGGCCUCUACUACGACCUCUGUUCAUAUUGGUAUAACAUUCACUACGAUAAUGAACAUACCUGUGGCAUUGAAAGCAUUCAAUCCGGGAUUUGUCUAUAGCUUUCGGCUUCCCAUUAAAUACGUGAUGAUCCCAACCAUUCUUUCCCACAUUUUUCUCUUCAACCCCAUUUGAGUUUCUUCCUUUCCACUUGCUGUUACCAUACCCAAAAUCUUUUGGAGUCAGUAUUGCCCGCAAAGCUUGGUCCUCCUCUUGCAGGGCAAAUUUUGAUCAUGAAUUAUCAACAAGUUCUCCAGCUCAUCAAGGGAAACUGUAUCCAAGCCUCUUGCUUCUUCAAUUGAGCAUAAAACAAAAUUAUAUUUCGGCAACAAGGAUCACAAAAUAUUCUCAAUAACAGCAACAUCUUCAAGCUUGUCCUUAUGAGUCCACAUCCUAUUUAUGAUUACCAUUGUCCUGGAGAAAUAAUCUAAAACGAUCUCUUUUGGCUUCAUAUGUAAGGUCUCAAAACCACCUUGUAGAGUCUGAAGCAGUGCACGCUUUUCCCUUGCAUUGCCUUGAUACUUCUUCUUCAUGGAAUCCCAAAUAUGCUUUGUUGUAUCCUUGUAAAGAAUUGUCUCAAGGAUGAACGAUCAAUUGCUUGGAAUAAAUAGUUCUUGGCCUUCAAGUCUUUCAGCUUUUGUGUUUCCAUCUCCGCCUUUUGUGCAUCCGACAAAUGGGUUCCAACUUCUGGCUCCUGAAUUCCACCCUCAACGAUUGGCCAAUAUUCUUUUGACCUCAAGAAAUUUUCUAUUAGCAUGCUCCAAUGAUCAUUAAUGACAAUCAAAGCGAGGAAUAGAUGGCUAGACGAAUCUAUUAGAAUCAUCCUGAUGUUGUGACAUUGUAUCUGAAACAGACUGCACAAGAUGCCCUCUCAACUUGGCUCUUAUACCACUAUUAGCUAGAAGAGAAUUCUUAAUACAAAGAAGAUGGAGAUAAACUUGAGGAAUUCAUUCAAAAAAAUAACUUCAGCACCUGAGCCUUUAUACAGGCCUACAUAAAAGGGAAAAUGUGGACAUAAAACCCACUAACUGACCAUUGAAAAACAGAAUAAUCCUACAAAAGAUUGAACGAACUAUUUUUGACUAAUUGACUUCCUAAAAAAAAGGAACCAACAAUAACAUACCAAACAAAACACUUAACGUGGUGUGGACAUUGUCAACAUCUUUUGCUUCAUUCUUUAAAUCCAGGAAAAUAUUUAAUAAGAAUUAAUAGAUUUUCAAAAGUCAACAACAAGGGUUUAAUGUAUUAGAACAAGGGUUGGAUAUAAUCUAAUUCAUGAGAGAAAGUGAUACGAGUCACAAAAGCCCAAAUUCUUGAAGGCGAGGCCUAAUAAGCAAAUUCCCAGCCCAAUCAAGAAAUUCAUCCAUACUUAGUUGAAAAUCAGGCCAAAUUGUCAAAGUGGCCCAAGUUGUAAAGUUUUAUUUUUAUUUAUUUAUUUAUUUAUUUACUUAGUUUAAAUUUUUAUGUCAAUAUUCACUCCAAGAGUCCCAGAUAAAAUGACCUUUGACCGAAUUUCCGUAUUAAAAUAAUGAGUUUUUUUAUUUUAGUUUUCUAAUUAGAUUAGGAUUAGUUAUAAGGCCUAUUUAAAGGCAUGGCUGUCCACCUUGUUAAACACUUAUCAUUAUUAUUAAAAUUUCAGAUUUGUUGAGAGCAGAAUUUUCUUUGAGUUUUCUCCAAGAUUUCUCUCUUGAGUUUUCUUUAGAAGUUGUUUUAACAAUCUUGUGAUUGUGGGAGCCAUCUUCAACCUUCUUCUUGCCAUUGAUAUUCUUUGGAGGGGAGAUUAGAGCCGUUUGAAGGGAGUUGUGAGAUCUUUCGAGAUUUCAAGGCUUCUUAGGACUUAUCUUUUAAUUUCUUACUGUCAAUUCUUUCUUUAUUUCUACUUGUGCUGAAUCAUUAUCUAAUCUAUUUUCUGUUCUUAUUGUGUUUUUAGCCUUCUUCUAUCUUAAGAAAUCAGCCUAAAAAUCCCCAAUUUCUAGGGUUUUUCCAUCCUCUUUUUGGGUGAAAUUAGAUUGUCGAAAUUUGGGAAAAACUAUCUUGGUGUUCAAUUGGGCAGAAUCACAAUCUCCUUGAGGGUUUCAAGAACCCUAACACUUAUUUCUAUUCUCAAUUUGAUUCUUUGCUGAUUUGGGGAUUUUAUUUCAGAUCUGGAAAUUCAAAGUUCUAAUCUUUUAAUUUUUCUGUUUCGUUUCGGAUCUGAUUGUUUAGUGUUUUCGUAGGAGUUUCCCGUGACUUGGCAACUCGAUCUUGGUCCGCGCGCAACCCCGUAUCAUUUGGUAUCAGAUUUUGGGCGUUUUGGGUGUUCUUGGUUGAUUUCUAAACUGAUCUCUAUUUUUUAAAUUACAAACAGCAGUUUUACCCAGAAAAAUUUUCGAAAAAAAUUCAUUUGAGUGGGUAAACGUUUUCUGAUUGAUCUGAAAUUUUACAUACAUAUUUUUGGCACUGUUAUUGAAUAUACAAAAAUAUUUCCCGCAAAAAAAUAAGUCGAAAAAGUCAAAAAAUUGAAAAAAGACGAAAUCCAAUAAAAAAUUAAAAAAAUAUUCAGCGGGUUGAAUUUGGUGCCCAAAUUUUCCAGAUCAAAAAUUCAAUAUUUGAAGACAUUCCAGAUUUAAUUUUGUGAUUUUUUGAGAUCGGGAACACCUCGAACGAAGUUGUCAAGUUACUCCGCAGUUUUUCGGGUUUUCUGUUUUCAACAAUUUUUAUUGAUUCUUAGCUGUAGGUUUUCAUUUGUUUGCUUUUUAUUCUCCCUUUACAAUAUCUAACACCUUCUUGUUUUUUGUGUUAGUAGGAUUUAAACGUGUGCCCAAUUCUUCCUCGGUGCAACACGAAUCAAUUGGUGUCUCGUCAGUUUUUGGCAUCCUAGUGCACAUUAGGAUUCUUUGGUAGAUCGGUUCAUCCACUCUCUAAUUGGUUGAUAUAAACUUUGAUAAAGAACUCACAAGAUUGAAUUCUACCUCAUUGAGAAUUUGAAUUUUCUUUUUGAGUGAUUAACGGUGAGGUUUGCUAACUUUUAUUUUUGAGUGUUGAGUGUUUAUUUUUGCAGCUUUUUUGGAAGAUGUCUAAAGAUGACCAUAAUGAUACACUUAUGGAAGUCCAACAACAGUUAGAAGGACACGCUGCUGCAAUCACACAAAUAAAUGCUACCCUUCGAGCUUUGACUGCUACCAUCAAUGAGGUGCAAUUGAAUCAAGAACCUCAAUAUCGAAAUCCAAUCAAAGAAUAUAGGAAUAACCAGCCCCAUAGGCGCAACCCUCAACGUGUCCCUAGAAUGGAUGAUGAUUGUCAUGAUCAUGGACAAUCAUCUUUGGCAAAACCAAAGAGCGAGCAGCAACGAGAACAUCUCUUUCAUACUCGCUGCCACGUACAAGGUAAGCUUUGUAGAGUUAUUAUUGAUGGUGAAAGUUGCUCGAACAUAGCCAGCACGACGAUGGUGGAAAAGCUUUGCUUAACCACUACCAAGCAUCCACAACCUUAUCAACUACAAGGGCUUAGCAACGAAGGCCAAUUUAGGGUCACUCAACAAGUGCGCAUCGCCUUUUCUAUCGGUAAGUAUCAAGACGAAGUUGUGUGCGACGUAAUGCCUAUUCAAGCCUGCCAUUUGUUGCUAGGAGAACCGUGGCAACUGGAUCGAAAAGUCACUCACGAUGGUCGUACCAAUAGGUAUUCUUUCAAGCAUCAAGGAAAGAAACUCACCUUAGUGCCGCUCACUCUGGAACAAGUCCAUGAGGACCAAAUCAAACUGAAAAAUUCUGUUAAAACAAGUGAGGAAAAAGAAAAAGAGAAUGAAAAAGAGCAAAAAGAGAUUGAGAGUGAAAAAGAAAUUGAAGAAAGAAGAGAAAAUGAAUUAGAAAAAGAAACAAAAGAAAAAGACGUGGAAAGGGUAGCGAGGAAUGUUUCCACUAACCAAGAUAUGAAUUUUUCUUGUGUUGCUACUUUUCAGGUUCCCGAAAGAUCGAAAGAUAACUUUCAACUUCAAUACCUCUCAAAUGAAAGACGCUUUCAUACGAUCAACUUAGGCAAAGAUGAAAUCACACUACAUGAUCCCGAAGGUAAGCGAGGUAAGGAAAUUUUAGAAACCGAGUCCAGUGCAGAUUUGAAAAUUAUUGAUAAAACUUUUGGUGACUUAGUUCUUAAAAGAUCCCCUCAUUUUGAUCCGAUUAAUUGUUACUCUUCGAUUGUGGUUGAUAAAGUCAUUACGAAAAGAAGCGUGAUUUGUUAUUCUCUUGAUUUACCUUGUGUAAAAUCCUCGAAUUUGUCCAAAUCUGUUUUGGAGAAUAAGGUAACGAAAUUUUCCAAAUUUGUUUUCAAUUUAUAUUCGUGCCUUAAACAGUUUAUGUGGUUGUACAUGAAGUUUGAGUUCCAUUUGACAAAGGUUAACUCAACAACGGAGAUUCGACUACACUAUGCCCCCGAUGAGCGAAGGUUUGUUUUAAAUGAAAAAGGUAAAAUCGACCCUUAUUCUUCUGCUUAUCGAGGUAAGAUGCUUGAAACCUUUGAAACACUUUUGUACUCCUCGGAUAGUGAUAAAGAUCGUGUUGAUGAACACUUAGAUCGAAACGUGCUUGACUGUCCUAUUUUAUUUAUUGAUGAUCUAUAUGUUUUGAUGGUUGAUAAAAAGAUUCUUGUUUUUGAUAAUGCAUGUGUGAGUGAAUCUAUAGACCGUCGAUUAAUGCAUGGUAUGAUUAUGCAACUCUGUGAACCAUGUGAAUCUUUUCAAAUACCUACUUGUGACGAUUAUGUUUACCAUUUGAUUUAUUACUCGCAAUUUAUUCAUGGUUUGUGGGAACAAUGUGAGACGACUGAAUGCCUUAAAACAUGUCCAUCUUUGUUUCAAAUAUUUGACGAGGCAGUGGUGAGUAAAUUAGAUUGUUUGCAUGGUAAUUUGAAUCUGUCCAUUCACAUGCGUUAUACCUGUUCUGUUAUGCUUAUGAUUGGACUACAAGCUUGUUUCCGUUGCUAUUUACUAUCUCAUGGCUAUUCUUUUCAGUGGACUCAAUUGCCAUUAGUCCCGUUCGAUAGAGGAAAGUCGAGUUCAUUUGAUUUUUCAGAUUUGAGGACGAAUCUUUUUGAGGAAGGAGGGAAUGAUACGAGUCACAAAAGCCCAAAUUCUUGAAGGCGAGGCCCAAUAAGCAAAUUCCCAGCCCAAUCAAGAAAUCCAUCCAUACUUAGUUGAAAAUCAGGCCAAAUUGUCAAAGUGGCCCAAGUUGUAAAGUUUUAUUUUUAUUUAUUUAUUUAUUUAUUUAUUUACUUAGUUUAAAUUUUUAUGUCAAUAUUCACUCCAAGAGUCCCAGAUAAAAUGACCUUUGACCGAAUUUCCAUAUUAAAAUAAUUAGGAGUUUUUUUUAUUUUAGUUUUCUGAUUAGAUUAGGACUAGUUAUAAGGCCUAUUUAAAGGCAUGGCUGUCCACCUUGUUAAACACUUAUCAUUAUUAUUAAAAUUUCAAAUUUGUUGAGAGCAGAAUUUUCUUUGAGUUUUCUCCAAGAUUUCUCUCUUGAGUUUUCUUUAGAAGUUGUUUUAACAAUCUUGUGAUUGUGGGAGCCAUCUUCAACCUUCUUCUUGCCAUUGAUAUUCUUUGGAGGGGAGAUUAGAGCCGUUUGAAGGGAGUUGUGAGAUCUUUCGAGAUUUCAAGGCUUCUUAGGACUUAUCUUUUAAUUUCUUACUGUCAAUUCUUUCUUUAUUUCUACUUGUGCUGAAUCAUUAUCUAAUCUAUUUUCUGUUCUUAUUGUGUUUUCAGCCUUUUUCUAUCUUAAGGAAUCAGCCCAAAAAUCCCCAAUUUCUAGGGUUUUUUCAUACUCUUUUUGGGUGAAAUUAGAUUGUCGAAAUUUGGGAAAAACUAUCUUGGUGUUCAAUUGGGCAGAAUCACAAUCUCCUUGAGGGUUUCAAGAACCCUAACACUUAUUUCUAUUUUCAAUUUGAUUCUUUGCUGAUUUGGGGAUUUUAUUUCAGAUCUGGAAAUUCAAAGUUCUAAUCUUUUAAUUUUUCUGUUUCGUUUCGGAUCUGAUUGUUUAGGGUUUUCGUAGGAGUUUCUCGUGACUUGGCAACUCGAUCUUGGUCCGCGCGCAACCCCGUAUCAGAAAGUCUAUGGAAUAAGUGAAAGAACAAAUUCAUCAGAAUGAGUUUUUCAAGAACCAAAUUCUUAAUCCACAAAUCUGACAUGAAUGAAGCAAAGGAAAAAAACUAAAAAUACUCAAAAUUUAAAAUCUAAUCUAUAGAAGAAAAUAAAGAAAAAAAAUGAUUUCUCCUAAUAAUAUUUUAAAUAUAUUUAUAAAAUCUAGAUGGUUCUUGUCGUAGAAUGGUUGAAGGGAGGACAAAGCAAUUUUUUUAAUUUUUUAAUCAACAAUGACAUGUAAAAAUAAUAUUAGAUAGCAAAUAAUCUCCUUGAACCUUAUUUAAUAUGUUUACGCCCGACUUCAAAAUGAUUUCUUCCAUUUCACCCGGUCCCAAUAUAAAAUUGUACAAAACAUUUUAUUUUAUGUUAAUUUUUUUAUAAAAAUUAAAUUAAAUAUAUUUAUAAAAUCUUUAUUUUAAAUGGUAAUUAAUAUUAUUAUAAAAAUAUUUUUAUCUUUUCAUAUUUUAUAUAGUUUUUAAAUAAAACAACUAAAAAAAUUUAUUUGAGAAUCAAGCACAAGUCUAACAAAUUCAUAUAGAAAUCUCUUAUUACUCAAUCAAUAAUCAUUUGAUGAAAUGAUUUUGUAAAUAAAUUUUAUAAUAUAAAAUAUUUUCGCUCAUCCGAUAAAAUCAAAUAAAAUUAAAAAGUCUUAACUCACAAAUUGGUACUUAAAAUUUUUUUGUCACAAGUGAUGCCUAAACUACCUUUUCCCCAAGUUGGUACUUUGGUUAGUCAAACCAUUAAGUCUAUUUAAAAAAAAAAAACUUAACCCAUAAAUUGGUACCUAAACUAUGCAUUUUUUUUCCAUUUUGGUGCCUAAACAUUUUUUUUUGUUACAAGUGGUACCUAAACUACUUAUUUUUCCCAAGUUGGUACCUUUGUUAGUUCAAUCGUUAAUUAAGUCAUUAAGUCUAUUUUUUAAAAAGCCAAUUAAAAAUUGACAUGGGGCGGAAAAACAUAAGAAAUAUCAUAUAUAUAUAUAUAUAUUAUUUCUUUAGAAUUGGGCUGAUAGUUGAACUAGUCAGUCCAUCAGUUCUCAAUUUGAUCAGUUCUCUCAAAUAAUUUAUUAAAAAUUAAUAAAAAUAAAAAAUGAAAAAGAGAAAAUUGGAUAGAAUUUUAUAUUAGUUUGCAGGUCAACCAGUUCAAUCCCUAUCUCUAGGCUAGUAACCCAAUCGAUUCCCAAUUCAACCAAUCCGGUUUUAAAAACAUCGAUUUUGAUUGGUGAAAUAACUUAUGUGAUCUCAUCAGGUCGAGCAAGCAAGUGGUGAAGUUCAAAAAUAGAACUAAUUACUAGCAUCUCGACCUCAAGAGGAUGAAUUUCGAGUAUUACUAGUAUUGCCAUACACUAUAAAAGAAGAAGAAGAAAAACGAGGAAAUAGAAAAAAUAAAGAGAGAGACCUAAUAUAAAAGACAAAAGGAAAAUAAAAUAAUUAAAAGUAUAUAUUUAAAAGUUUAUAGGAAGUGAUAGAUUAUUACUGGUUAGGAUUUCUUUUAGGACAAAUAUAAUAUUUUUGUGUAAAAUGAGUAAUAGAAAAAUAGUUUAGGUUAGAGGAGAAGACAGGGGCAAGCAUUGGUCAUGGCCCCACUAAAAUGGUAAAUUUGCUAUAAAGACCCCUUAAAAUUUUCCAAAUCAUAAGUUAGUAUAAUGAUGAAAUUAUACUUUGUCCCUCAAAAUAUUUAUUAUUCAUUUUUGGUCCCUUAAAGUAAUUUUCUGACUUCGUCCUUGGUUGAGGCACCACAUGUGAAAAAAAUUAUUAAGUUCUAAAAUGAAAAAAAAUGCAUAGUUUAGAUACCAAAUUAUAGGUUAAGCCUUUUUAAAGUAGUUUUAACGGUUUGACUAACGGAUGUACCAAUUUUGGAGGAAGAAAGUAAUUUAGAUAUCACUUGUGACAAAAAAAAUUAAGGAUCUGUUUGUUUUACUAAAAAUGAAUUUUGAAAAAUGAUUUCUGGAAAAUGACUUACUUUUCUGGAAAAGCUAGUAUUUUCUAGUAUUUGGAUGAAUCUGUGUAAAAUAUUUUCUGUUGUUUGACAGAUUUCCUAAAAAUAUUUCAUAAAAGUUAUUUUUAAUGAAACAAACAUACAUUUGAGAUUUAUGAUAAAGAGCUUAAAAGAAGUAGUGAAUUGAUUACAAUGUGAUGUUAAGGUGAAAUUAUAGUAAAUAAUGAAUCUUCAUGAUGUUAAGGAUUAAAUUGUAAACUUUGCGAAUUUUAUAAUUAAAACAAGAGAAGUGAUAUACAUGAAAAUUCGUCAUGUGAAAUAAGAUAUAUAUUAUAAUGAGUUAUUUGAUUAAAGUUCUUAUAUGGUGAAAAAUAAAUUACACGGUAAUAGGGACUAAAUUGAAAAUUGUAAAAAAGCUUAAGUGUGAAACAAUUUAGUAUUUGAAUAAGAAAAUUAUUAUUAAAGUUUGAUGAAUGUGUUAUGAGAUGAUGAAAUAAGCAUAAAGUAUUGUAAAAGUGAAAUUGUGAAAAAAAUUAUUUUUUUUAUGAUGACAAGGACUAAAUUGUUAAACUUGAGAAAUAUGUGGAUGAAAUAAUAGAUGUGAAAAAUUUGAUAUGUGAAACAAGAUAUUGAGAUAAAGUAUGUGAUUAAAGUGUAACAAGAAAAAAAAAGAUCUAAUAUGAUUAAUAAAUGAACAAUGAACAUUUAUGACAAAAAAGGAUUAAAUUGAAAAGUUAUGAAAAUAUAUAAGAAAACAUUUGAUAAGUGAAGAAUGUAGUAGAGAAUGGAAUAUCUCCAUACUUUAACCUGAUGUUCAAGUUGAGUAUAUGGGUGUUAGAGUAAAUAGAAUUUUAUUAAUUUGGAAAAUGUCUUACGAAAAAAAAUUAGUAAAACAUUUUAGAGGAAUAAUGAAGUAAUUUUAUUUAACUGAAAAACCUUUUACAUUGAGAAUAUUAUUUUACAUGAAAUAAAUGUCAGAAAAUACUGAAAAUAUUUUAGCGUUGGCAUUCAAACAAACGGAAAAAGUAAAAAGAAAUAGAGAAACCCGACCCUGACAAAGUAGCUUCAUUCUUAGGCUAUGGAUUUUUUUAUAGAACAUAAUUUUGGUUGCAAUCAAUUUCACUUGGGCUAAGUAAAAUAUAUAUAUGUAUGUUACAAGUAUUGUAGAAAAAAUUGAAGUUAUAAAUUUUGGAGACAUCCAAAUUAUAAAUACAUUUUUGGGUACAACACCUAGCUGCACUCCUAACUUCAUCCCUGCUUAACUAGAUUCGGAACGAUGGAAUUUAACUUUUUAUAUAAAAUUAGAUUUACAUUAAAUUUCAACCUGAGGCAUUGGAUUCUGCAACUCAAGACACAGGUUUGGUUCUUGCAAAUGCACUUUACUACAAAGAUACAUUGGCUAAACCGUUUGACACAUCAAACACUGAAACUGCACCUUUUCACCUUCUUAAUGCUCAAACAGUUGAUGUUCCUUCUAUUACAACAAAGUCUGCAAUCUGAGUAUCACCAUUACAGAUCCUUUAAUGGCUAUACAAUUGUCAAAUCCCCAUAUAACAAUGGUUUAAGAUACUAUGAGCUAAGCUGUAAACAAAAAUAUUGUUUCUUAGGAUGAAGAAAAGAUUAUAUAUAAAAGCACGUCCAUAAUUGUAACGUAAAUCCUGGAGUCAACUCCAGGAUUGAAUUUAUUAUACUACAAUCAUUGUGUCACAGGGAUUGUUAUUGGGAAUUGGUGCUAAAAACAAAUUACAUUACUAUAUUAUUGGAGAAUUAUACAUGGAGGAAUGCUACUAUAUGUAUUUAAUCAAGGAGAAGAUUUCGAUGGGGGCACACCUGGGAAGGGGGGUACAGGAAGGAAAGGGAAUGGUGGAAGAGGAAAUGGGAAGUCUGGCGGUGGAGACGGGGGCGAUGGUGGAGGAGCUAGUCCUGGAACCGGCGGCAAGGAUGGUGCUGCAGGUUCUGGAGGAGGCUGCAAUGGGUCUGGAACUAGUGGAGCUGGUGGAGGCUGCAAUGGGUUUGGAACUAGUGGAGCUGGUGGCGGCUGAAAUGGGUUAGGAGGGAGCACUGGGGGUGGCAGAAGUGGGUUUGGAGGAAGAAUGGGCGGCGGCAGAAGUGGGUUUGGAGGAAGAAUGGGCGGCGGAAGAAGCUGGUUGGGAUGAACACUUGGUUUUUGGCUGCAUAAGGUUGGUUGUUUGAAUGGCUUGAAGGUGAAAAACCCAGCUGAGAAAACAUGGGUUCCUUGCUUCCUUGACUUGAGAUGGAGUGAAGAGGAAGUAGCAGAUGAGGCCACUGCACAAUAUGGUUCACUGCUUUUAAUCAGUUUAACUUCACAUCCCUCGAUUUUCUUCACAUGUUUGCUCACAGAAAAAGGCAAAUGAACCUUGAAUUCCCCAUGCCUAUUGGUUUUCACUUGUUGCCUAAAGCUUGCCCUUGAGCUUUUCCCAUCUUUGCAUUCGACUGCAACAGUUGCACCUGCAGAAAAAAAAGAAAAACUUGUAUCAACUGAGAAAAGAGAAGAUGGAGUUUGGGAUUCAAUUUAAAACCUGAAAUGAAAUGGGUUGGCCUUGAGAAGUCAGACUGGAAACAUGUAUCACAGUAAACAGUUCCAACAACAACAGCAGAUUGCUGUUGCUGAUAUCCAUGGCUACCCUCUGAGUAACCAUUAAAAAUGAUGAAACAAAGCAGCCAUGUAAAGAAAAACCCAGGCAUUAUUUCAACCUCUGUUAUCCUUA
rnacentral:lncRNA from 1 species